rnacentral:rRNA from 1 species
UGGGGAAUAUUGCACAAUGGGGGAAAUCCUGAUGCAGCGACGCCGCGUGAAGGAAGAAGUAUCUGGUAUGUAAACUCCUGUUGUUGAGGAAGAUAAUGACGGUACUCAACAAGGAAGUGACGGCUAACUACGUGCCAGCAGCC